rnacentral:piRNA from 1 species
UGACACGGGUCUUAAAGCUAAGCCUUCUGGU